rnacentral:rRNA from 1 species
UACGUAGGGUGCAAGCGUUGUCCGGAAUUAUUGGGCGUAAAGAGCUCGCAGGCGGUCUGUCGCGUCGAAUGUGAAAACCCGGGGCUCAACCCCGGGCCUGCAUUCGAUACGGGCAGACUAGAGUUCGGUAGGGGAGUCUGGAAUUCCUGGUGUAGCGGUGAAAUGCGCAGAUAUCAGGAGGAACACCGGUGGCGAAGGCGGGACUCUGGGCCGAUACUGACGCUGAGGAGCGAAAAGCGUGGGGGAGCGAACAGG